GUCAGCGGUCCUUUCUCGCCGAUCGCUCCACUCAUAGAGUUGAUCAUAGAGCUAUGGGAGACUCUCAAAACUCAUCCCUGGCCACCUUCAGAUCGAUGAUCACGAUUCCUUUCAUCUCCUUUCUACUUUCUCCCAAACCAAGAUCGGAAGCAUUAAAUUAUAAAAAAUUUUUAAUGGCCUCUAUCCAGCUCCUCCAAAAAGUGGGUGUGUGACCAUCGG
rnacentral:lncRNA from 1 species